UUAAAAGAGCAGUGAAAUUAUUUAAACCACACGAAGCUUUUGAUCCAAGAACGCUUGAGAAUGAUAUAGCUUUUAUAUAUAUCGCAGAACCCUUACCGUUAGGGAAAAGAAUCAAAAGAGUCGUAAUCAAGAGUAACUUUCCAGUGGUCGCAUCAGCCUUCAUGAGUGGUUGGGGAAUGAUUGACGAUUAUACAAGAGAAACUAGUCAGAUACUAAGAGCAGCAAGGCAAAAAUUUAUAACUGCAGAAGCUUGUGCCAAAUACGUUAGGGUAUUCGACGGAUUGAUGUGUGCCGGAUAUGAAGAUUCCUAUAAACCUAGGCCUUCAGGAGGUGAUUCUGGGAGUGCUCUGAUGCUGAACUAUCAACAAAUAGGUAUUGUCUCCUUUAUCAACCCUUACUACACCGGGGUUAUCUUUUACACAAAUGUUUCAUAUUUCUAUCCUUGGAUCAAAAAAACUGUCAAUUCGACG